AGGACGAACGCUGGCGGCGUGCUUAACACAUGCAAGUCGAGCGGAAAGGCCCUUCGGGGUACUCGAGCGGCGAACGGGUGAGUAACACGUGGGCAACCUGCCCUUAGCUCUGGGAUAGCUCCGGGAAACCGGAAUUAAUACCGGAUAUGACCUAGGCCGACAUCGGCUGUGGUGGAAAGUUUUUCGGCUAGGGAUGGACUCGCGGCCUAUCAGCUAGUUGGUGGGGUAAUGGCCUACCAAGGCGACGACGGGUA
rnacentral:rRNA from 1 species